UGCCAGCCGCCGCGGUAAUACGAAGGUGGCGAGCGUUGUUCGGAUUCACUGGGCAUAAAGGGCGCGUAGGCGGUCCUGUAAGCGGAGGGUGAAAUCCCGGAGCUCAACUCCGGAACUGCUCUCCGAACUGCAGGGCUAGAGGACGAGAGGGGGCUUUGGAACUCUAGGUGGAGCGGUGAAAUGCGUAGAUAUCUAGAGGAACGCCGGUGGCGAAAGCGAAAGUCUGGCUCGUUUCUGACGCUGAGGCGCGAAAGCGUGGGUAGCAAACAGGAUUAGAUA
rnacentral:rRNA from 1 species